CAGCAGUAGGGAAUCUUCCACAAUGGACGAAAGUCUGAUGGAGCAACGCCGCGUGAGUGAUGAAGGGUUUCGGCUCGUAAAACUCUGUUGUUGGAGAAGAACAGGUGAUAGAGUAACUGUUAUCAUCUUGACGGUAUCCAACCAGAAAGCCACGGCUAACUACGUGCCAGCAGCCGCGGUAAUACGUAGGUGGCAAGCGUUGUCCGGAUUUAUUGGGCGUAAAGCGAGCGCAGGCGGUUUUUUAGGUCUGAUGUGAAAGCCUUCGGCUUAACCGGAGAAGGGCAUCGGAAACCGGGAGACUUGAGUGCAGAAGAGGACAGUGGAACUCCAUGUGUAGCGGUGAAAUGCGUAGAUAUAUGGAAGAACACCAGUGGCGAAGGCGGCUGUCUGGUCUGUAACUGACGCUGAGGCUCGAAAGCAUGGGUAGCGAACAGGAUUAGA
rnacentral:rRNA from 1 species